AUCCAAAUGAUGUGUCCCGAAUAGGAUGAGACGUGCGUCUUAGAU
rnacentral:hammerhead_ribozyme from 1 species